rnacentral:rRNA from 1 species
UACAGAGGUCUCAAGCGUUGUUCGGAUUCAUUGGGCGUAAAGGGUGUGUAGGUGGCGCGCUAAGUCGGGUGUGAAAUUCGGAGCUUAACUCCGAAACUGCAUUCGAUACUGGCGUGCUUGAGGACUGGAGAGGAGACUGGAAUUCAUGGUGUAGCAGUGAAAUGCGUAGAGAUCAUGAGGAAGACCAGUGGCGAAGGCGGGUCUCUGGACAGUUCCUGACACUGAGGCACGAAGGCCAGGGGAGCAAACGGG